GCCCCAGUGGCUCAGCGGUAGAGCGUUUGCCUAGUAUUGUAAGCAAAAGGUCCAGUGUUCGAGUCACUGUUGGGGCA
rnacentral:tRNA from 1 species